rnacentral:rRNA from 1 species
UACGUAGGGUGCAAGCGUUGUCCGGAAUUAUUGGGCGUAAAGAGCUCGUAGGCGGUUUGUCGCGUCGAAUGUGAAAACCCGGGGCUCAACCCCGGGCCUGCAUUCGAUACGGGCAGACUAGAGUUCGGUAGGGGAGUCUGGAAUUCCUGGUGUAGCGGUGAAAUGCGCAGAUAUCAGGAGGAACACCGGUGGCGAAGGCGGGACUCUGGGCCGAUACUGACGCUGAGGAGCGAAAGCGUGGGGAGCGAACCGG